UACGGAGGGUGCGAGCGUUGUUCGGAAUCACUGGGCGUAAAGCGCGUGUAGGCGGCUCGAUAAGUCUGGUGUGAAAGCCCGGGGCUCACCCCCGGAAGUGCAUCGGAUACUGUCGAGCUCGAGUCUCGGAGAGGAGAGUGGAAUUCCUGGUGUAGCGGUGAAAUGCGUAGAUAUCAGGAGGAACACCGGUGGUGUAGACGGCUUUCUGGACCGUAACUGACGCUGAGACACGAAAGCGUGGGUAGCAAACAGG
rnacentral:rRNA from 1 species